rnacentral:lncRNA from 1 species
AUGAGAAGAAGGCCGCGGUGUUUACCCACCACGGCCGCCGCCGAGGACCGCCGAGGGCCGCCGAGGACCGCCGAGGACCGCCGGGCACCAGCGUACGCCCGCUGUGUGGGGCUGCCAGCGAGGGCCCGCCGAGGAUCGCCGAGGACCGCCGAGGGCCACCGAGGAUCGCCGAGCACCGCCGAGCACCGCCGAGGACCGCCGAGCACCGCCGAGCACCGCCGAGGACCGCCGAGGACCGCCGAGGACCAGCGUCCGCCCGCUGUGUGGGGCUGCCAGCGAGGGCCCGCGGCCAGAGCAGGGCUCAGGGAGACGCGUGCAGGUGCCAGCAGGCGAAGCCAGAGCGGGAAAGGCGGCGGGACGCCGCGGGGCACGGGCGGAGCACCUGGCGGCUUCCCGCCGAGAUGGCCAAGAAGAGGAAAGGGGGAAGGUAUUCUUGCAGCCAUAUUAAAAGCGGAAAAGCAAAACCCCAUCUGGGACACUCCUCAGCGGCACACACGACGCAGGAGGUUUUACAGUACCUUGAGGAAUUCCAGUGGACCAGAUCAUGUCAGGACCCCCGGUGGAGACUUUCUCUCAGAUGCUGAAGCCAAGCCAAGCAGAGCAGUGCAACAAGUAUUGGGGCAUUUCUAAAAAUCUGCCACCGCCUCCCCACAACCACCUCCAGGGACGAUAUUUUGAAGCUCAUGUUAAUUGUAUCCCUUAAAAUUCAUUUGGGGGGAAAAUACCUGAUAAACUGGGAAUCUUCAGGAAAUCUAUUCCUGAAACAAAAUGUCCCUUUCUUUCUCCCUUUCCUUACCUGGUCUAGAACUAGUCAGCCCCUUUUUACUGCACUAUUCUACUACAAAUAUUGUAACCUGGCUUCAUUUGGCUACAGCCCAAGCCUGGGAAGAAGCUGACCAUGUUCACAGCCUAGCUAAUCAUGCCAGUGUGUCCAAGCUUUAUGAGUGUCUGUCUGUCUUUUUUUCUCUAUAGGUCAAUAUAAAUUUAGAAUGAGAGAAAAAUACUUAAUUUUAAUUCUGAUAUUUAAAAGAACCCAGCUAUCACUGCUGUGUAUCUUGAUGAAAAUAAUAUGGUAAUCAUUUCUCAAGAUACAGAAGGAAAAGAAACACUCACAAUGAAAUACCACUAUACCCCACCAGCUUGACAAUACUAAGUGUUGGUGAAAAGUGGAGCAUUUGUAAUUUCCAUCAAAUGAAUGUCAUUUCAUUUGUAAUUUUCAUCAUUUCUGUGACACCAAGAUACAGAAAGAGGGACUGAUGGGUCGGGCUGGCCUGUUAUUCAGACCAACCUAGAGGCGUUAGAAACAUGAGGGCAGGAGGUGUGUUUGACAUCACAGGUGGGUGUGAAAACUGUCACAUCACUUAGGAAAAUAUGUGACAUCCACUGGCAGUGAUGAAAAUUACACUCCUCAUCUCCCCAACACUGAACACUGUCAAUCCCGUCAACCUGUAAUGCUGAAUAUGGACAUGCUCUUCAGUCAGGCAGUUUCACUCUUUGUUUACUCCCCAAACAAUCCCAUGCAGAUGUACAAUAAGACCUAUGUCAAAGAACAUUCUUUGCACUGUUCUUAUGCAAUGGCCAAAACUUGAAAACAACAUAUAGUGAUCAAUGAGGGAAUGGAUAAACACAUUUUGGUCCGUCCAUACAAGGGAAAACGAUACGCAAGCAAAAAUUUAACCAUAUGAAAUAAAAAACAAACUAUAGUGACGUGGAACA